rnacentral:lncRNA from 1 species
CCACUUUCAGGGAAAUCCUUGCCUGGUGCGCAGCUGGAGCAACCGUACGCCCGGUCCCGCAGCCCCUCCCCCACCCGGGGACUUCCCUCCGCCUCGAGUCGGAGCUGCCCGGGGAGGCCGCGGGGGACCAGGGGCUGCCCUCUCCCGGGACGGACCCAGCGCGAGGUCCUCCCUGGGGGGCGCGUGGGGAGCCCCGCGGUGCCGUUUGCAGACAGGAGGGGCUUGGCGGGGGCCGGCGACCCCCUCGGAGCACUCGGGACUCGCCCCGCGGGGUCCCCUCCAGGGUUUGCCGCGGUCCCGGGGCCAGGGCGCGGGGUGGGAGGUGGCCGGGGCGGGCGCGGGGCGGGGACAGCGCGGCGCCCCUCCUCCGGCCCCGCCUGGGCCCGGGAUCUCUGGGCCGCCGCCCGCGCGCUCCACUCGCCGGACUGUCCCCUGCGGCUCCGCGCGCACCAUGGCGCGUCGGGCCGCCCUGGCCGGGCUGCUGCUGCUCCUCCUGCUGGGCGCCGAGCUGCAGGCGCAGGAUUUCGAUCUGUCCGACGCCCUCGGGGACAAUGACCAGAAGCCAACAAAGGCUCCCAAAAAGCCGAGCGAUGACGGUAAGGAGGCAGAGUCCUCGCUGUGCAAAGAAGAAAGAGGAAACGCUGGCUUCCCGGUCCCUAACUAACAGCAGGACACAGCUCCCGAAGCCACCAGGGGACAUGAGUCACUCAGGGUGGUGACAUUUUCUGUUUGGUACCGGGAUUGACCUCGGGGACACUGGACCCCUGAGCCCCGUCCCCAGCCCCAUUUUGCAUUUUAUUGAGAGACAGGGUCUCCCUGAGCUCCUCAGGGCCUCGCUUUGGCGGAGGCUGGCUUUGAACCCGCGAUCCUCCUGCCUCGGCCUCCUGAGCCGCUGCGGUGACCACCGUGGGCCAUUUCAAUUCCAUGUCCACGCCCAACUUUGGGACCCGUGGCCUCUGCCCGUCUAUUCCUUAACGGGCAUCACUGGGCCCCAGAGUGUGGUUGGAAUCCUAGCGGAUGAGAUGGCCGCUGCCCGCUCCUGGCUGGCCUCGCUGCGGAGGCCGCUCUGCCUUAGCUGCUUGCUUGCUUCUGAAGGUGGCGCGGCGGGGAGCCCUCGCGCACUGAGCAGCUGCUGCUCGCCCUCCGCUGACCUAAGCUUGGCCGCGCACGAAGCCCCGGGGCCCGUGACAAAGAUCGUCCCGAAGCCCUGGCAAGGUGGGCACCGGGGUGGGGCCUUCCUGGAGGGGCGGGCCUCGACUCUGCAAAGGGAGGCACUCGAGACCCUGAGGAGGGUUGAGGUUUCUCUGCUGGGGGGUCUCCCUCCUGCGCCCCCUCGGUCCUGAGGUCAGGCUCCGGGCUCCUGGAGGCCGUGUCUGCAAGAAGGACGGCCUCGUGCGUCCUGAGGUCCUGCAAAUAGACGCAGUUAAGCGGGCUGAGGCUCUUGGACCCUGAGAAAGGUCCAUGCACCAAGCGGGGAGUAUGGUCAGGGCUGUCCCCGGACCCAGAAAAAGCUACUGGACAGCUCCCCGCAGCUCAGGAUGCGCACUGCACAAAACUGAGUCGCAACUUUGUUGCAAUUGGACAGCGUGAGUCAGUUGCAACUUUGUUGCCCAGCGACACGGUGGAACACCCCGUGUGAAAGGUAAAGGGGAGCUACCCGAGGGUCCCCAGUGUCCCCUGCUGCACGCGCGCUCGAGGCUCAGCUUUGCUAAUAACCCG